CCUACGGGUGGCAGCAGUGGGGAAUAUUGCACAAUGGGGGAAACCCUGAUGCCGCGACGCCGCGUGCAGGACGAAGGCUUUCGGUACGUAAACUUCUAUCAGCAGGGAAGAAAAUGACGGUACCUGACCCAGACUCCCCGGCUAACUCCGUGCCAGCAGCCGCGGUAAUACGUAGGGGGCAGGCGUUAUCCGGAUUUACUGGGUGUAAAGGGAGCGUAGACGGCCAUGCAAGUCUGAUGUGAAACCCCGGGGCUCAACGCCGGGACUGCAUGGGAAACUGUGCGGCUGGAGUGUAGAAGAGGCAAGUGGAAUUUCUAGUGUAGCGGUGAAAUGCGUAGAUAUUAGGAGGAACACCAGUGGCGAAGGCGGCUUGCUGGGCGACGACUGAGGUUGAGGCUCGAAAGCGUGGGGAGCAAACAGGAUUAGAUACCCGUGUAGUC
rnacentral:rRNA from 1 species